GAUGGUAUAGCUCAGUGUUAGGGCACUUGCCUGAAAUGCAUGAGGCUCAGAAUUCAAACUCUGGCACUCCCA
rnacentral:tRNA from 1 species